rnacentral:tRNA from 1 species
GGGUGAUUAGCUCAGCGGUAGAGCGCUUCGUUCACAUCGAAGAUGUCAGGGUUCAAAUCCCUUAUCACCCACCA